AUUGAACGCUGGCGGCAUGCUUUACACAUGCAAGUCGAACGGUAACAGGGUGCUUGCACCGCCGACGAGUGGCGAACGGGUGAGUAAUGCGUCGGAACGUGCCGAGUAGUGGGGGAUAACGCAUCGAAAGGUGUGCUAAUACCGCAUACGUACUGAGGUAGAAAGUGGGGGACCUUCGGGCCUCACGCUAUUCGAGCGGCCGACGUCUGAUUAGCUAGUUGGUGAGGUAAAGGCUCACCAAGGCGACGAUCAGUAGCGGGUCUGAGAGGAUGAUCCGCCACACUGGGACUGAGACACGGCCCAGACUCCUACGGGAGGCAGCAGUGGGGAAUUUUGGACAAUGGGCGCAAGCCUGAUCCAGCCAUGCCGCGUGUCUGAAGAAGGCCUUCGGGUUGUAAAGGACUUUUGUCCGGGAGCAAAUACCCAGUGCUAAUAACGCUGGGGGCUGAGAGUACCGGAAGAAUAAGCACCGGCUAACUACGUGCCAGCCCGCCGCAGUAAAAC
rnacentral:rRNA from 1 species